rnacentral:rRNA from 1 species
UACGUAGGGUGCAAGCGUUUAAUCGGAAUACUGGGCGUAAAGCGUGCGCAGGCGGUUAUGUAAGACAGAUGUGAAAUGCCCGGGCUUAACCUGGGAACUGCAUUUGUGACUGCAUGGCUAGAGUUUGGCAGAGGGGGGUAGAAUUCCACGUGUAGCAGUGAAAUGCGUAGAGAUGUGGAGGAACACCGAUGGCGAAGGCAGCCCCCUGGGUCAAGAUUGACGCUCAUGCACGAAAGCGUGGGGAG